GCUGCUGUGUAUCAAAUGGCUCGUCUGAAAUGCCUGAGUGUACCCUGCUUUUUGUGGCGUAUUCGGUGUGAUAAAUCUUCACCGGAGUUGAUCUUUGGAUCACGUCUGCUUAACAUGGCCCUAUGCUUCAAACUGUCUUUAACCAGACAAUACUCUGACAAUUUGACCUCAAAUCGGGUGGGACUACCCGCUGAACUUAA
rnacentral:misc_RNA from 1 species